GAUUUCUGGUGUGGCGCGGCCGGCCCGCCGCCCUCUGGGUGUGUGAGUGUCGGUUCGCGUCUACCAUCCUUCUAGAGAGCGGCUCUGCCAUUCACUUGGUUGGGGUCGCGAUCUGGAUCUUUUACUUUGAAAAAAUUAGAGUGUUCAAAGCAGGCUUGCGCCACUGAAUACAUUAGCAUGGAAUAAUAAGAUAGGACUUUGGUUCUAUUUUGUUGGUUUCUAGGACUGAAGUAAUGAUUGAUAGGGAUAGUUGGGGGUGCUAGUAUUGAACGGCCAGAGGUGAAAUUCUUGGAUUCGUUCAAGACUAACUUAUGCGAAAGCAUU
rnacentral:rRNA from 1 species